rnacentral:rRNA from 1 species
GUGGGGAAUAUUGGACAAUGGGCGAAAGCCUGAUCCAGCAAUACCGCGUGUGUGAAGAAGGCCUGAGGGUUGUAAAGCACUUUCAAUAGGAAGGAAUACCUAUCGGUUAAUACCCGGUAGACUGACAUUACCUAUACAAGAAGCACCGGCUAACUCCGUGCCAGCAGCCGCGGUAAUACGGAGGGUGCAAGCGUUAAUCGGAAUUACUGGGCGUAAAGCGUGCGUAGGCGGUUGUUUAAGUCAGAUGUGAAAGCCCCGGGCUUAACCUGGGAACUGCAUUUGAUACUGGAUGACUAGAGUUGAGUAGAGGGGAGUGGAAUUUCAGGUGUAGCGGUGAAAUGCGUAGAGAUCUGAAGGAACACCAGUGGCGAAGGCGGCUCCCUGGACUCAAACUGACGCUGAGGUACGAAAGCGUGGGUAGCAAACAGGAUUAGAAACCCCGGUAGUCC